AUUAAAUUUCAAAAAGAAGAAAAAUGUGUAAUUCAUUAGUUUUAACAGAAGCAUAUACCUACAAAAUCUCUACCACACUAAGAUAUAAAACAUUUCCAUCUCCCCCAAAAUAUUUCUUGUGCCCCGUUUGCCAUCCAAACCCCCCUCUAGCAUCCCAGGGAACCACUGAUUUGCUGCUUCUACUAUAGAUUAGUUUGCAUUUUCUAUAAUUUUAUAUAAAUGGAAUCCUAUAUUUUGGGGGGGUUCUGGCUUCUUUCAUUCAGCAUAAUGAUUUUGACAUUCAUACUUGUAGUUGCCUUUAGCAGUAGUUCAUUCCUUUAUAUAGUAUUCCGUUGUGAUAUACAUUUACAUUAUCCGUUCUUCUGCCUAAGGACAUUUGGUCGUUUCCAAUUUGGGGCAAUUGUGAUAAAAGCUGCUACGAAAAUUCAUGCCCAUGUCUUGAACCUUUGCAUGGACUCUUCCGUGAGUUUUUCACUGAACUAUUUCAACCUCUUACUGAGUCACUGUGUCUAGUCUUCUCUGUGCCCAUACAGCCUACAUAUUGCUCCCAGAACGUUCUUCCAAAGGCACAGUACUGAUGAUAUCACAACUUUAGUGACAUCUCAGAGUCUAUAGGUAAGUCAAAACUCUUUAUUGCCAAUAACAUCCAAAUAUCUUUCCAUAUCACUCAUAACCCACCCCUUGGCACUUUUCCUCUGGCUACACCAAACCCUACUGCCCCCUGAAUACCUUCCACACUCCUGGACUCUUGGACAUUCCCCUUAUGCCUCCAGGAGGGUCCUCCCCAUCGCUGUUCAUCUGCAGCCAUGUCAGGUGUGGAAGAAGGGCUGUUGCUCCCUUGGAAUUCAAAUUGGCGCUCUCUCCCCCCCUUUAAUUUUCCACCACCCUUUCGGACUUCUCAUGAACUCACGGUUCUUCCCACAGAGGUGGCACCCUACCUGUUGAGUCAACAGGUGAGUGCGUUUGUAACCUGUGCAUGGGACAUAGCAGAAGGUAGUUUAUCCCACAUCGCUGGGAAGUGAAACUAAAUAUGCAGGCGAAUUAUCCAGGUAACUUAAGUGCAGUUAGCGUUGAAAAUAUUAAGUAUUUUAUGGAAAUAGUUCCACAACGAGUUACAAAUGCCUCUACCUUCUUAACUAGAUUUAGCUGAACAUAACUGAGACAUUGUCAUGGGUCAGGGUAAUCACUAUAAUCAUCAUUUAUAGAUUUGCGUUGUGAAUUGGGGAUGUCCACGGGGCAGCUGUGUGUAGAGUUUUUACCUCUUUACUAAAUGAGCCCAUACGGUGAUACUUUUGUACUUUUAUUUCCUUUCCCCAUUAGGCUGUCAUUUCUUACAGUGCUGUGCCUAGUUACUGCCUUAUGUUACUCAUAAUUACCAAUGUAUGGCCUGCAGGGUAAAGAAAUAGGUUUUGUUCAACUGCAUAGACAUCAAAUUCUUAAAGAUAGAGAUCAUGUGGUUGCAAUAAAAUCAUCCCAGGCACAAUCUGUGACAGCUGUUUGUCAGCUCAUGUACAUGAUGUCCCAAGCAAAGGAGAGAAGGCUCAGGAAGAAGUGAAUUGGUGAUGGCCUGCUGGUUAGCUGCAGAACUGAGACCAGAAUGCAAGUCCCAAUGCUCACCACAGGACCUACUCUUCCCUCGCCAUGUAUUUUCAGAAAGUAGAAAUACAUGCUUCUACUCUAGUUUAUCCUACAUUUUGAGUGGCUGCGUUUCUGGAAGCAUGGCCAUUGGACACAUGUGACUUGAUGAUGUAAAUAUUCACAGAUGUGGACCUCAUGGCCUUCCAGUGAACUUUUUGAGACAGUGAGAUCGAGAACCAUGCCAGCAGCUGGCAAAGGGAGAAAGGGGCAGUUCCUCAGUCCGUAUGUGUCCCCAAAGGGGUAGCUACUAAAUGUGCCAGAGGUUAGGCCAUCGAAUCGUUAUAGGCUCUGCCCCAAAAGCUCCCCAUCGUGACCUUCCACAUCAGCGCUUGGUCUGGGCACAUUUUCAGGCAAGAGUGGUAAAGAUUCCAGGGAGGCCAAACUUUAUAAAGAGCUGUUCCUUACGUGCAGAGGUUGCUGGCUGCCUAUCCAAAGUCCGCUGCCAUGUCUUUCUUACUUAUGUAAUCCUAAUUUUAUUCAGGAUGCAGAGACAACUUAAAAUAGAUAAUCUCCCAGCCUGCCUUGCAGCAAUGUGGCCAUUUGAUACAUUUCUGGCCAAUGAAUGGGCAAGGCAAAACCUCAUGAAAUAUUUGGGAGGAAGUGUACCAAUGUCUGCAAUUUACUUUGAAAUGCCUCAAAAAUCAACACUGUGAAUUGAUGGGUGGACAGAGAGCUGGCUAGCUGGCUAGCUACAUAAUAAGGCAAGUACGGGGAGAGGUUAAGGAUAGAGUCUAGGCGUUGGAUAAGCAAAUGCCUCCUGUAAUAUACUUUCAACUUCACCAUAUGUUAAACAUUUCAGAGUAAAAUGUUGGGAAACAAACGUCCUGUGGAAAAGGCAUGUGGCCUUUAGCCCUUCAUCUCCUCCUCUAUCCUGGACCAAAUGCAGGAAGGGCCACGACCAUCUUGUGACAGCAAUGGCAGGUCUGCGGCCCAUGGGACCUGAGAGCAGGAAGACAGAGGAGGAUUCACCCAUAGGAAAGAGACACCACUGGCCUUUGAUUGUCUCCAUGCCGGUGUGGGCAUCCUCCUUCCUGGUAGAGCAGCUGGUGGAGGUUAAUACUUCAGUCUCCGAAGGCCAGGAGUGGUCCAGAACCCUCUGCACCGCCACUGCUCCCUCACUUCCCACCCCCAAGACCAAAGCUCUUCACACCAUGUUUCAGGUCGAGGAGCAAGAAAAGGAUCUCAGGAUGGAAAGGGCUUCUAGAACAUGGUCAGAUCUGGAUCUGCUGCGUGCCUGUUACUAUAGUCAGAGAAUGCACUUCCUCCACUCCGGCCUCUUGAACUAUUUGUAACUCCACCAUCGCUGUGUUUGCUGGACCGCAAGCUUCGUACAGGCAGAACUGCACCUCUGUGCUAUUCACAGCUGGAUUUCUAGCUCCUGGUUCUGGGCAAGGUGCCUGGGCAGUGUCCUGUUGAUGUGUGUUGAGAGACUGCGGGAAUUACUAUGCCAUCCAAGCCUACACACAGUUGAUUCUGCAACUUUUUCUGCAGUUGUUUCUCCUUGCUUUCUCCAAAGGCCAGAGAUGAAAAGAAAUGUGGACAGACUUGCUGUCGGACCAGCUCUUUCCUUUUAUCAAUCUUGAGUUAAAAAAAGAAAAGAAAAAAGAAAAGGAAAGGAAAGAGAAGGAAAAAAGAAGAAGAAAAGAACCUUGGGAACAUAUUACAAACUGUUCAUUCCAGAUGCCACAUAUAGGAAAAAGCACAAAGGGGCAAAAUAGGGAAAGAGAAGAAAUGUUUGCUAAAAGCCUACUCUAUGCCAUGCCGGCUAAGCACCUACCCUGUGCUGUUCUAGAUACUUAAAAUAUGUAAUUUAUUUAAGGUUCCCAACAAUUCUGCAAGGUAGGUAUUUUCAUUCCCAUUUUACAGAGAGCUGUACUGAGAUGCUGAGAUGUUAAGAAGGGGACCAGGGGAACUUUAGUAAGUCACAGACCAGCUGGGAGUAAGGAGCCAGGAUCAGACCACAGGUUGUUUGGAUUCCAAGUUCAUGCUUUCUCUACCACUUUGCAGCAAUUUGCAGCCCUCAUGACUGAAGCGGACUAGGGGCUUGCAAUUCUGAGUCUGAACACCCAAGCGUUGAUGAAAUAUAAUCACGGUCAGGUGGCAGUGAUUGGAAAACACUGUAAGAGGAAGGGCUUCUCCCCAGUCCGCACCUUAUAAGAUUCAUGCACUAUUUUGUUGCUAUUGCAAUGGGGUUAAAACAGACCUCAGCUACACCAGCACGAUAAAUCUAGGACAUGUAUCAGAAGUCACCUUACCUAUGGGUAAGGUUUUGGUCAUCGUGGCUUCUUGAAAUAAUCUGAAAAAUAGCUAUGGACACUCUUUUUUAAAAAAUGCGCACAUAUAUAUACAAUUUAAGGAAAAUGCAGAAAGCGCAGAGUUGGGAAGGAGUCAAGAAACCUGGUCUAGACACUAGACUCUUCAGUGACAAUCCAGCUGUGUGUCUAUCACCUCCUUGAAGGUAGGCCCUCCCUGCCUGCAGCAGUACGCCGAGGGCCUUCCGACUUGCAGGGCUUUUGGUAGGUGUUUGCUGGCCUAACCAGCGUUCCUGUGAUUCUCCAACCCCUUUGCCAGCCUUACAGUUAACCCAUGGCAAGGUACACUGUAUUAACAUAGAGAGAUUGCAAUGUCAUGACCUGGAUCUGGUCCCCACACGGCUGUUUGUUAGACUAUAUGACCUUGGUCAAGUCCCUUCUACUUUCUGGGUCUCUUUCAUUCCUUUAAAUUGUACUCUUCUGACGCAUCAGAGGCUGAACUGGAAAGUCACUGGGAUUACAAGAUGGGUAACGCAAGGUCUCCAACCUCAAGGGGGAACCUCAAGGAACUUCAGUCUUGCAGAAGUCUUAAAUAUUAAAAAACAAAAACAAAAAGCAAGGGUGAUAUUUAAAAUGUUGAACAAGUAGAGAGAGACAUGGGUGCUAACCACCAGCACACUCACACUGGGGCAUCCCAGCUGAGGGCAGCUCCUCAGAGAAGCCCGGGACCAAGAGACCAUUGCCACAGUUAGAGGUGAGAUUCAGUGAUGGCAGGAGAAGGAGUCCAAGAUCUCAGUUUCCACUUACGCCCAAGGAGGGGUUAGAUUAGAACAGAGGUCAGCCAGUGAUGAGUGGCCUGUGAACCAAAUGGGACCCGCCAACUGCUUCUGUAAAGAAAGCUUUGGCGGAGCACGCCAUGCUCAUUCGUUCACACAUUCUCUGUAGCUGCGUUCAUGCUACAACAGCAGAGUGAAGCCAUCGCCACAGAGACGGUAUGGCCCACACAACCUAAAAUGUGUACUAUCUUCAUGGAAAAGUUUGCCGACCCCAGACAAGGUAAGUUCUAACAUCCUUCCAUCAGGAAACUUCCAUGCCUUCCUGAGCAGGUAGGGCAUUUGCAUUAAGUGUGGUUUUCUAAGAACUCCCAAGCAGACAGCAAGUGUCAUUCUCUGGGACAGUGGGGAAUGGAGACCGAGUCCUUGGAAGGCAGAAUGUAGGCUGGGGAAACUAUUGGGGAAAACUAUUUGGGGAAACUAUUUUUUAUUCUGUACAGAAAGUUCUGCUCAUUGUCAUAAUGAAGCCCAUUGGGGAAUUGCUUGAGCGUACAGUUGGCGAGCAUGUACUUGCAACUGAAAACAGCGAAACUUCCAGGAAGCCACCGUUGACAAAUGCACUCACUUGUGUAAGAGGUGAUCCGCGUGCAGACUGAGGGGUCUAACUGGCCUGGUUGGACUAGCUUGGAAAUCUUUAAUGCUGUGUGGGUUUUCCCUGCAAGACUGAAGGAGAAAGCAAGAAUCAGGAGCUUGGAGUUGGGCUGACUCCCGUAGAGGCUCUGAUGACAGCAGACUAAAUGUUUCCAGGCGGGUUGGAGAAAGCCUUGAGCAAGUAGAGAGAUGGGUAGAGCUAGGCUGGGGGACUUUACACUCAGGUUGUGCACCUUACUUCUGGAUGCCCUUCCUCCUCUCAGACCAUCCCUUUGCUGUCUUUUCUCUUGAAUCCUUAAAGGUAGGCUUCAAGUCAAGAGACUCCUUAUUCAUCUUUGAACCACUGUGGGGCAUUACUGGCCUCAAUUCUUUAUGCCUCCUGUAUUCAUCCUUUCCUAGUGACUUUGUAGUUCUUCCUCUAUCUCCAUGCAGGGUAGUAGAAUAUCGUUUCAUGUUCCUUGAACUUGGGCUUGGCCACGAGACUUGUUUGGUUAACGAUAUAUAGGUGAAAUGACAGCAUGCCAGCUCUGAUCCUAAGUUCAUGUUUCCACUUGUCAUUUGGUACAUCUGCUAUCCGAUAAGAAAAAUAUGCCCACGUUAGGCAUAAGAGGCCAAAGGAGGAUGGUCAAAGGAAGAUGACAGACAUGGAGUGGAGAUGCCCCAACCAACCAACAGUCCUGCAGUGAGAGCUGCCAAGAUGUCUGAAGCAGAGCCGUGGCUGAUCCCAGCCUCAGUCAGCCAAAUCCUGGCAGAAGCACAGACGUGAGCAAUAACAAACCUUUGAUAUUUUAAGCCACUGAGAUUUGGGUGGUUUGUUAAGCAGUGGAGCUGAUACCAACCUCCCACAAGCUCUGUAAGCAAGUUUUUAUCAGAAAGCAGAAAAACAGUUAAAUGAAGGGGCCAGAGAGAGUCCAUCUACUAUGUUAAGAAGCAAACAGCAAACAUUAAUAGAGACCUUUAUUCCUGGAUAAGAAAGAGGAGGGGGAGGAAGAAGAGGAGGAGAAAAAAGGGGGAAAGAGAGAGAAUAUGGGGCAUUUGAGUGAAAGAGAAAAACAGAUGGCCUACAGCUUAGGAAGAGGAAAACACAGUCUAAAUAUUCACAAGACCAUUAUUUUGGAAAAUAUGUACUUAAGGAAACAAUAAAAAAAGUUUUAAAUAGCUUUCACUUGAUACUUGUAAUAAAACAAAAAAUAUGGACUUUUAAUAAUAAGAAAUUAAAUGUAAGGUAAGACAACAGUAUUAACAAUAUGCACUCUCUUGGGUCACUUUCUUUGAUUCACUUGCCAACUGUGAGGACACUCAAGCAGCCUAUGGAGAGGCCUGUGGGGAGGGUGAGGGGACUGAGACCUCCUGCAAACCGCCAGCACCAAUUUGCCAGCCAUGUGAAUAAGCCCCCUUGGAAGUGGUCCUCCAGCCUUUGGAUGGUGGCUAUUUGACAAGGUGCGAGGUACAGUGCCUUUUAUGACUUACCCUCAGAGGUCAUGUUCCUCCAUUUCCUCUAUGUCCUGUUGGUUGAACAGGCAGCCCUAUUCGGUGUGGAAGGAACUAUCGAGAAUAUGAUUGCCAGGAGACUGGAAUCAUUGGAGGCCACCUUGGCGUGAGAUACUUGCCCAGUGGAAGACUUCUUCUAGUAAACAAUAGUUGCUAACAUUUAUUCUUGUACUUGGUAGGUUAUGGACACUGUUGAACCAUGCUUUUCAUGUAUUAGCUCAUUGAAUCUUCCCAACAACCCUUGAGGUAGGUACUAUUAUCCUCAUUUUAUAGAUGAGGAAACUGAGGCACUAAGAGUUUAAGUCAUGUUCAAAAUGUCAUUCGCUCAGUAUGCAAAAAAUGCAGGAAUGGAACUCAGGCAAUCUGGCUUCGGAAGCCACACUCAGAAGAACUCUGCUGUCCUGCCCCUUGGUCAUACUAAAUUCUGCCACUACGACUUGGUUUGCAAUUGUUUUGUGGGAGUAGAAAAGGAAAUAUCAAGGAUAGGAGGGAGCCAGGGAGGUGGGAGCCAGCCAAACACGUGGAAGGGGUCACGUGUUUGCGGCUGUGCUAAGAAUAGCAACUCAAGAAUCCGGAAGUUCCUGCUCUGCUGGAAAGAUCGUGAUCUGCACGAUGACCCUCUCUGCACAUGGUGUCAGUGACAGCUGGCUCCUUGCCUCUCAUCACUGCACAGGAACAACCCAGGAUGCCUUCUGAUGGUGUGUGUAUACGGCGACAAGCUACUAGGGCAUCUUCACACUGCCUUGGAAAAGAAUACAAUGAGCAUUUCCCUUUAAAUAAACUUUCCAAGUCAACCUAUGAACAGCCAUGUGCUGACACCAGGGAGUGCAGGCAGGUGGGAACCUCUCACACACCUCUGUUCGGUGAGUGUCGAGCCGUACAUGAUAAAUGAAAAGUCAGCCUGCUCAGAAUGGCCCUGCUUGUACAUUUGACCCCAGGAGAAUGUUAACUUAAACCACAAGAAAGCAACUGAUGUCCCAGGAACAGCCCAUGGCUGCGUCUGUGGCCCUCAAAGCCAGCAACACCAGUUGUUGAUGGAGACACAAUUGAGGUUCUGCACGAGGUCACCAGCAAAGUUAGAGCCAUCCCCCACCCCUGGAAUCCCGUCAGGUUUUGGUGUCUCAAAGCUGCUGCAUGGCUAAUCUUUGUGGGUAAAACCAACUGGGUUCGUCACAGAGAGUGUCCAGCCUGACUCCCCUCAGGGAGGUGGCUAGAGAGGGAACAACCUGGAGAGGACAGUGAAUGGGCGCACUGCUAUUUUGCUCUCUAACUUCAUAUUACUUCUUUUCUUUUUUUUCUCUCUGGCUUAGGAGAUCAUCUAACAUGUGGCUCACAGCUGACUCUCGUAGGGGCUCAGAUAAACGAGGAGAAGACAAAUACCACCUGGGCACUGUUACACCAUUCUGUGUGGGUAGAGAUGGAGCCAGAUAGACUUUCCUCCACCCUCUUUAUUUAUGGAAGGCCUCACUCACUUUCCAGCAGGAAGAGAGAGGGUGGGAGGGGCACUGGGAUGCUGUGUUCAGGGGGAGGAAACGGUACGUAUGAGCAAGGGGGCUCUGGUAGACCACUGAGGAUGGAUGUGGCCACUGGAACCCGCCUCUCUUCCAAAGGCCCUUGGUGCGUGUGGUCCCAUCAAGUGAUCAUAACAGGAAACACAACAUCUACACGGAGCCAGGCACUCUUCUAAGUGCAGUACGUAGCAAUCUUUUGAGGUAAGUGUGCUAUUAUUCCCAUUUUAUAGAUAAGGAAAGCGAGUCACAGAGAGAUUAAGGAACCUGCCCAGAUUUAUCCAGGUGUAAGUGGCAGAACCAGGACUACAGACCCAGGCUCCAGAGCCUGUGUUCGUAACCACUAUUCUCCACUGAUUUUCAAAGCAGAGGGCUCCUUGAGGCCAUCUGGCUCAGGCUCUCCCUAAUUUACUCCCUCCUGAACCACCUUCAGGAUCUUUGCAAAAUCUGUGUCCCACCUCUAAUGUUAUUGCCCCUCACUCAUCUGGCAUCUGCAAGCGAUGAGAACCAUGAAGGAGGGGACGGGCAUUUGAAUGGACAAAAGAGAUAUCCUAGUUGACUCAUGCAUCUGGAAGACAUCUACCGAUCCUGCUGCCCAAUGUGCCAGGUGCUGGCUGGGUAUGAAAGAAUUGGAACGGGAUACCACAUGGGCUGGACGUGAAGAGAUUCACAGUGUAAAAGGCAAGUAACUCACAGUGUGUGAAAGGGUUGGGAUUCCUCAUGGUCCAGACCCUCAGCCUCCUUUAGACCCCUGGCCAGCAGGUUAGGUCAUCUGUUUUCCCAAAUGACACAACUUCAGAGCUAACAGAUGAGAAGGGAACAGGGCUAUUUCUGGGGGGCAAAACUGUCCUGAUGAAGAAGAGGGGCUGACUUGGAGGAAGGAGGUAAGACAAUGAAGCAUUUGUGCAUUGAAGUCUGAGGUUGCUUAGUGGAGGAGCGCAAACCCUAUGAACUCACAGGACGCUGAGGUUUACUGUUUUGUAGAAUAUAGUAACGCAUAACCAAUAUUCAUAACGACCUCCCGAAUCAAGGGCUUUGUAUUUGCUUGUCCCCUCUGCCUGGAAUGCUCUUCCCCAGACCUCUGCUGGCCUGAUUCCUCACCUGCUUCAGGCCUCUGCUCCAAUGUCCCCAACCUCAGUGAGUCCCACCCUGAGCACCUUAUCCUUAAUUAUGUCCCAUCCCAGCUCUUGGAAAUUUUCCUCUAUUUUUUUCUGUAGUACUUACUACCUUUGGACAUAAUAUUUGUCAUCUCUCAUCUAUCUAUCUAUUUAUCUAUCUAUCUAUCAUCUAUUUAUUUAUCUAUCUAUCUAUCGAUCUGUCAUCUAGCUACCUAUCACCUAUCUGCCAUCUGUCUUUCAUUUAUUAUGUCUUUUGUGUGACUCCAUCUCUGGAACAUAACUUCCACGGGUACAGGGGUGUUUGCUUUUUUCCCAGACAGCUCAUGGCCUGAGCAGGAGUAGGCACCCAAUACAAGGCUGUUGGUUGACCUCCAACUCUGAGUUAUCAAGGCAAGGUCAAAUUGUAGUUCACGUAUUUUGAAAAUAGGGCCCCCUUGGGGUGCCUGGGUGGCACAGU